AUGCCGGGUAGCCUGGCCAGGAGCAGAGCGGUCCAGCCUCCCACCCCCCACCGCGGUUGCUAUGGCAACAGAGUGGGGGCGGGAGGAGGAGAGGAGGGACCACUCGCCCCUCAGACAAUGGGAACCUAUUCCAGGUCACCGCUGGCCUUAUCCGGAGGACUUGGGGUGGUCAACAGUUGUGGCUCUUCACACCCUGCAGUCCUGGGACCGGGGCCGCAGUGCUGGGCUCGGGCCAGACCUGGAGGCCUCAGGCUGGGAUCUGCAGACAGACCCCUCCCCCUGGGAGCUCCCAGUCCCACCAGCGCCUCUUUCUUCUUGGGCUCCCAGAUCCCCCAAGAUGUAGUUGGUUCAUUUGCCGGCCCCCUUGCCGUCUCUGCUGCUCAGUUUGACCUGGUAUUGGGAGUGGAGUGACGAUGCUGUUGCCGCGAGUGAAGACGAUCUUUGAAGAAGCCAGCCCUGAGCCGGGGACGCAGGACGCGCUCGUUAGAGAUCUCCGCCCUCCGCGCUUCCAGGGGGUGCCUUGGCUGCCGCACUGUCUUAGCCCCUGUCCUGGCUCUGGCACGUGCUGACUCGGAGGCAGGCCAAGGUCCUGCGCCUCCCUGCACCUCAGCUUCCCGCCUGUGAAAUGGGCACAAUAAUCCCCUCUGAGGUUGAAUGACGUGAGGCAGAGAAAGGGUUUGGAGCAGAGCCCAGAACGGAGAGGGUGGGGGCAGGUGGCUGUGAGCCGCCGGCAAUUCGGGCACAGGACCCCCCCCCCCCCGCCCUGCUCUCGGCCCCUUCUUCUGGGGUGUGGGCUGUAGCGCCAUGAGCUCGUGUCUGCUCGGGGCCUCCUGGGGGAUUUGCACAGCACUGGGGGCUUUUCUGGCCCUGGGCUUCUGCCCCUCAGCUCCGCAUCAGCCUCUCUUUCCCCUACAGUGCAGCCCUCAACGCCUGGAAGAAGUUUGGAGUGCUUGAGCCAAGCUGGCCCAGAAUCGUCGCCCCAAUUCACAGAUUGGGAAACUGAGGGCGAAGGGUGGUCCCCACGGGACUGGAGCCCUGGUCUCGGGACUCCCUGUUCAGUGCUCCUGCCCUGCAGCAGGCUGCUCUGUGGGCCUGGACACUGGGGUGCCUGUCUCAGCUGACAAGAAGAGGAGGGAGUCCGGGGCAGUCGGUCAGAUGGGAGGGGAGCAGCCCACAGUCCCAUGGUCACUGACGGGGAGUGGGCAGGAUUCAAACCCAGGCCUGAGAGCACUAGAAUCUGAGCAAGCCCUGUCCCUGUGGCCCCGGGGAGGGUCAGCCAAGGCCUGGGCAGCCCAGCCUGCGCUCAUCAUGGACUCUGGGGGGCAGAGAAGACCCCCACCCACCCUCCCAGCACAGGCGAAGAACCUGCAGUGGCUGUUGCGUGCAGGAGGUUAAGCCACUGCUGGGGUAC
rnacentral:lncRNA from 1 species